UACGGAGGGUGCGAGCGUUGUCCGGAAUCACUGGGCGUAAAGGGCGCGUAGGUGGCCUGUGGAAGUCUGCGGUGAAAGCCCGGCGCUCAACGCCGGGUCGGCCGUGGAUACUCUCGGGCUUGAGCUUACUAGAGGCAGAUGGAAUUCCGGGUGUAGCGGUGGAAUGCGUAGAGAUCGGAAAGAACACCAACGGCGAAAGCAACUCUGCUGGGCCGACACUGACACUGAGAGACGAAAGCUAGGGGAGCGAAUGGG
rnacentral:rRNA from 1 species